CUACCCGCUGAACUUAAAGCAUAUCAAUAAGCGGGAGAGAA
rnacentral:rRNA from 1 species